rnacentral:piRNA from 1 species
UAUUUAAGUUGGGACCGGACAGCGAUC